ACCAGGUUAAACGUUAUCAAUCGGCAAAUCAAGCCAUUUAAACUGUACUUUGAAAAUGAUUGAAAUAUAUGAAAUAAUUCACUAAAAAUCUUGAUAAAAACUAGGGGGGGGUCUCAACACUCGCAGGUGCGUGUAGCUCACAGCUUGAUGAUAUGAGGGAAAGUAAAUGUGUUUUAUAAAUCACAAGUCUACUACCAAUAAUUAUGCACACUUUUUAGAAUUUCGUAAAUUUUUCGUUUUUGUACCUUUUCGCAUGGACUGGCUCAUAUAAUAUCUUUUAC
rnacentral:lncRNA from 1 species